rnacentral:rRNA from 1 species
GAUGAACGCUGGCGGCGUGCCUAAUACAUGCAAGUCGAGCGAACGGACGAGAAGCUUGCUUCUCUGAUGUUAGCGGCGGACGGGUGAGUAACACGUGGAUAACCUACCUAUAAGACUGGGAUAACUUCGGGAAACCGUAGCUAAUACCGGAUAAUAUUUUGAACCGCAUGGUCCAAAAGUGAAAGACGGUCUUGCUGUCACUUAUAGAUGGAUCCGCGCUGCAUUAGCUAGUUGGUAAGGUAACGGCUUACCAAGGCAACGAUGCAUAGCCGACCUGAGAGGGUGAUCGGCCACACUGGAACUGAGACACGGUCCAGACUCCUACGGGAGGCAGCAGUAGGGAAUCUUCCGCAAUGGGCGAAAGCCUGACGGAGCAACGCCGCGUGAGUGAUGAAGGUCUUCGGAUCGUAAAACUCUGUUAUUAGGGAAGAACAUAUGUGUAAGUAACUGUGCACAUCUUGACGUUACCUAAUCAGAAAGCCACGGCUAACUACGUG